CCAUGUUGAAACACUGGUUCCCAUGCGAUCACUGAAGUUAAGCAACCUCGAGCCUCGUCAGUACCUAGAUGGGUAACCGCAUGGAAAUAUCAAAUGUUGGAU